UGGCGAACGGGUGAGUAACACGUGAGCAACCUGCCCUGGACUCUGGGAUAAGCGCUGGAAACGGCGUCUAAUACUGGAUAUGAGCUCUCAUCGCAUGGUGGGGGUUGGAAAGAUUUUUCGGUCUGGGAUGGGCUCGCGGCCUAUCAGCUUGUUGGUGAGGUAAUGGCUCACCAAGGCGUCGACGGGUAGCCGGCCUGAGAGGGUGACCGGCCACACUGGGACUGAGACACGGCCCAGACUCCUACGGGAGGCAGCAGUGGGGAAUAUUGCACAAUGGGCGGAAGCCUGAUGCAGCAACGCCGCGUGAGGGAUGACGGCCUUCGGGUUGUAAACCUCUUUUAGCAGGGAAGAAGCGAGAGUGACGGUACCUGCAGAAAAAGCGCCGGCUAACUACGUGCCAGCAGCCGCGGUAAUACGUAGGGCGCAAGCGUUAUCCGGAAUUAUUGGGCGUAAAGAGCUCGUAGGCGGUUUGUCGCGUCUGCUGUGAAAUCCCGAGGCUCAACCUCGGGCCUGCAGUGGGUACGGGCAGACUAGAGUGCGGUAGGGGAGAUUGGAAUUCCUGGUGUAGCGGUGGAAUGCGCAGAUAUCAGGAGGAACACCGAUGGCGAAGGCAGAUCUCUGGGCCGUAACUGACGCUGAGGAGCGAAAGGGUGGGGAGCAAACAGGCUUAGAUACCCUGGUAGUCCACCCCGUAAACGUUGGGAACUAGUUGUGGGGACCAUUCCACGGUUUCCGUGACGCAGCUAACGCAUUAAGUUCCCCGCCUGGGGAGUACGGCCGCAAGGCUAAAACUCAAAGGAAUUGACGGGGACCCGCACAAGCGGCGGAGCAUGCGGAUUAAUUCGAUGCAACGCGAAGAACCUUACCAAGGCUUGACAUACACCAGAACACCGUAGAAAUACGG
rnacentral:rRNA from 1 species